rnacentral:lncRNA from 1 species
AGAUGUCAAUCAUAGGAGUUGACAUGUGGCCAACUGUGGCAUCCUAGCCCAGCUUAACAGCUAAAGAAGUCCUGAAGAAGAAAAUGCAUCUCACAAUGUUGGAGGAAAAAAAUGCAACUACCUCUUGGUGAGCAGUAGCUAAGGAUGAAAGCUGCCAUUCCACGGUGAACUAGUGAGGAAUUUGCCAGCAAGUCAAAUAUUUCACCGAGAAGAUGAAACUAAAGAUGAAAGAGAGUGAUUUUUCUAACCCCUGUUUGAGCGAAGACUCCCCCACAACCUAAAAGAUCAAUCAUAUGGAAAACAGAAAGUUUUUCAGCACAAGGAUGACUUCUCAAUAGAGAAUGAAGAAAAAGUGCAGGAGAAGGAGACAUGUCCACCGUGCGAUGAAUGGAUUCUCAAGAAAAAAUAUAAAGUGCCUAGAAGAUAUUGCGGGUCCCCUUGCAGAACACUGCAAUAAAGUAAAUAUUGCAAUAAAGUGAUAAGGAAUAUAACUGAAGAGC